rnacentral:rRNA from 1 species
CCUACGGGAGGCAGCAGUGGGGAAUAUUGCACAAUGGGCGCAAGCCUGAUGCAGCAACGCCGCGUGAGGGACGACGGCCUUCGGGUUGUAAACCUCUUUUAGUAGGGAAGAAGCGAAAGUGACGGUACCUGCAGAAAAAGCACCGGCUAACUACGUGCCAGCAGCCGCGGUAAUACGUAGGGUGCAAGCGUUAUCCGGAAUUAUUGGGCGUAAAGAGCUCGUAGGCGGUUUGUCGCGUCUGCUGUGAAAACUGGAGGCUCAACCUCCAGCCUGCAGUGGGUACGGGCAAACUAGAGUGCGGUAGGGGAGAUUGGAAUUCCUGGUGUAGCGGUGGAAUGCGCAGAUAUCAGGGGGAACACCGAUGGCGAAGGCAGAUCUCUGGGCCGUAACUGACGCUGAGGAGCGAAAGCAUGGGGAGCGAACAGGAUUAGAUACCCUGGUAGUCCAUGCCGUAAACGUUGGGCGCUAGAUGUGGGGACCAUUCCACGGUUUCCGUGUCGCAGCUAACGCAUUAAGCGCCCCGCCUGGGGAGUACGGCCGCAAGGCUAAAACCUAGAAAGUAGUACGCGCGAGAGCGNGACCGAAGCCACGAGGAGGUAG